rnacentral:rRNA from 1 species
CAGUAGCCGCGGGAAUACGUAGGGCGCAAGCGUUGUCCGGAAUUAUUGGGCGUAAAGAGCUCGUAGGCGGUCUGUCGCGUCUGGUGUGAAAUCCCGAGGCUCAACCUCGGGCUUGCAUCGGGUACGGGCAGACUAGAGUGCGGUAGGGGAGACUGGAAUUCCUGGUGUAGCGGUGGAAUGCGCAGAUAUCAGGAGGAACACCGAUGGCGAAGGCAGGUCUCUGGGCCGCAACUGACGCUGAGGAGCGAAAGCAUGGGGAGCGAACAGGAUUAGAUACCCGCGUAGUCCCUGUCUCUUAUAC